rnacentral:lncRNA from 1 species
ACACAAAAGGCGCAAAGGCACGCGACGCGUCAGGAAUGCCAAGUGGGCGACACACGCCCGCGCCCGGCACAAAAGAGGGGAGCGCGGCGGCUGCCGAGGAGGGGCGGCCCCGGACGAACCCCGCCCGCGCCCACCGCCCGGGACCCGCCGCCGCCCCGGCCCCGACCCCGACCCGACCCCGACCCGGGUCCCGCCCCGCCCCCGACCCCGACCCGACCCCGACCCGGGUCCCGCCCCGCCCCUGACCCCGACCCCGACCCCGACCCCGACCCCGCCCCUCCCCCCGCCGGGCGCGCGGCGACCCAACCGCCACAAAGCGCCCCGCACAACUUGGCGGCGGCGGCCCCGAGGCCGGUCCGGGGCGCGGGGGGCCGCGGGGGCCCGAGCCCGGCUCCGAGAUCCACCCCCCCCCCCGCCCGGCCGCUCCGAGGGGGCGCGUCCGCCCGCCCGCCCGGUCCCCGCGGGUCGCCCCCGCCGCCGCCUCGCUCCUCGCGGGCAGGGACGGGCGUCCCGGCGCCCACCCCGCCGCCGUCCCGGAGCCCGCCCGGCCCCGCCGCCUCCGCCGCCUCCGCCCCCCUUACCUGCGCCCGCCGCGCCCCGCGCCUCACAGCGCCGAGAGCCGCCGCCCGCGCCGCCGCUGCCGCCGCUCCGCCCGCCCCGGCGUCCGCGGCCGCGCCGACGCCAUCUUGGCUCCGGUCGGAAGUGACGUCGGGCGGCGCCGGGAGCCCGAGAGCCCGCGAGCCCGCGCCGCCGCCCUCGGACCCGCCGACACCCCGGGGACCCCGCGCCGCCGCCCUCGGACCCGCCGACACCCCGGGGACCCCGCGCCGCCGCCCUCGGACCCGCCGACACCCCCGGGGACCCCGCCGCCGCCCUCGGACCCGCCCCGCCGAGACCCCGGGGCCCCGCGCCCGCCCGCCCUCGGACCCGCCGACAUCCCGGGGACCCCCGCCCGCCCGCCCUCGGACCCGCCGACACCCCGGGGCCCCCCCGCCGCCGCCCUCGGACCCGCCCCGCCGACACCCCGGGGUCCCCGCGCCGCCGCCCUCAGACCCGCCGACACCCCGGGGACCCCGCCGCCGCCUCGGACCCGCCCCGCCGAGACCCCGGGGCCCCGCGCCGCCGCCCUCGGACCCGCCGACACCCCGGGGACCCCGCGCCGCCGCCCUCGGACCCGCCGACACCCCGGGGACCCCGCCGCCGCCCUCGGACCCGCCCCGCCGACACCCCGGGGACCCCGCGCCGCCGCCCUCGGACCCGCCGACACCCCCCGGGGACCCCGCGCCGCCGCCCUCGGACCCGCCGACACCCCCGGGGACCCCGCCGCCGCCCUCGGACCCGCCGACACCCCCGGGGACCCCGCCGCCGCCCUCGGACCCGCCGACACCCCGGGGCCCCCCGCCGCCGCCCUCGGACCCGCCGACACCCCGGGGACCCCGCGCCGCCGCCCUCGGACCCGCCGACACCCCGGGGACCCCGCGCCGCCGCCCUCGGACCCGCCGACACCCCGGGGACCCCGCCGCCGCCCCUCGGACCCGCCCCGCCGAGACCCCGGGGCCCCGCGCCGCCGCCCUCGGACCCGCCGACACCCCCGGGGACCCCGCCGCCGCCCUCGGACCCGCCGACACCCCGGGGACCCCGCCGCCGCCCUCGGACCCGCCCCGCCGAGACCCCGGGGCCCCGCGCCGCCGCCCUCGGACCCGCCGACACCCCGGGGCCCCCCGCCGCCGCCCCGCUGCCGAGGACCCCGCGCCCCGAGGUCGCAGCUCCGCGGGCGCCAAGUUCCUGGGAGACCCCGCGCCUUGGCUGAGCGGCGGGCCCCGCCCGGUGACCACGCGGCCCUCCCGGCUCAGCUCCCCCGGACCGGCCGCGGCGCCCCGAGGGCUGGAGCGGGGGCCCCGGGCUCACUGGCCGCUCCGCCGCCGCCCGGGUGCCCGGGCCCGCCCUGGGUGCCGCGCGGCCUCGUCCCGGUGGAGCCCGACUGUGGGGCGGCCCGAGCGCGGGGCCGGCGGCGGGGCAGGAGGCGGUGGGCGCCGGGUCGGGGCCGGAGGAAGGCCCGGCCCGCGGGGUGCGGAAAGCCGCGAGCCCGUCGGUGACCCUGCGCCCCGACGGCCAAGUCAGGGAGCAUCGGAGUGUAGACGGCGUCGGGCCUCCGCGGAGGGGAGGAGGGGCCGCGGGGAAGAGACCCCGGCUUAG